rnacentral:rRNA from 1 species
UACGUAGGUGGCGAGCGUUGUCCGGAAUUACUGGGUGUAAAGCGCGUGUAGGCGGGAGGCCAAGUCUGCGGUGAAAUCGCUCGGCUCAACUGGGCGGGGUCCGUGGAAACUGGUCACCUGGAGGACGGUAGAGGCGAGUGGAAUUCCAGGUGUAGCGGUGAAAUGCGUAGAUAUCUGGAGGAAUACCGGUGGCGAAGGCGGCAUCCUGGACCGGCAUUGACGCUGAGUGAGCGAAAGCCAGGGGAGCAAACGGG